rnacentral:lncRNA from 1 species
UUGAAGGGAACUCUAAAGAAAUUGAAUAAAAGAAACGUUGCAAAGUAAUAAAACCUAAUCUAGAAUUUCUGGGCAGUUUCGAGGUAGCCCGGGCCUCCUGGGUGAAUGAGAUUUGCUUCAAAGCAAUUUCCUGCCUCUCUACAGCCCCCUUCCUCCCCUAUUUAUUCUAAUUCUUGAUCCGUAGAAAAUUGGGAAUGACAGGUGGAAUUGCCAACUGUAUUUAUCUAAAUCUAUUUUAUUUGGACUCUUUUUCUUACUGCAAACGGUGCUGUUUGCCCCUUGGAUUUAUUCCCUGCCAGCUGUCAGCCGCAGGAUCUUCUUCAUCUCAGCCCUCCACGUAAGUCUCUCACAUUCGAUCUUGAUUGUACACGUACUCACUAUCUUUUCUUGCUGUAGGUAGUCUUCUCCAACACGCCUUCCUCCUUUCUUCAUCGGCUUCAGCUUUGGAUCUUUUCUCUCUCGAAGCCGGAUUGUUACAAUCACUCUCCCCCUUUAAAAAACCUUGCCCUCAAGGUGAGGGAAAGAAUCUUUUAACCAUGUUUCUUCGACCCAAACGGCGUCUUUUUUGGGCUGUCCUUCCCACCUUAACAGAACUUCUUCCUUCAUCUCUCUUCGUGAAACUUGACUUUUUCGGUCAAGGAUUUCUGCCGGUUCUGGUUGGGGUUGCUACUUGGUUUCGAUCAUGGGUAGCUUCGGUUUGGGGAUAAUUCCCUUUCCGAUCCAUUUCUUCAACAGUGAGACGUGAAAUGUGCUAUGGAUUCGAGCUUCCUUGGGGAGGUCUAGCUGGUAAGCCACUUCUCCCACUCUUUUUAAGAUUUUGAAUGGCCCAAAAUACUUGUAUGUUAACUUCACAUUUUUGUUUCUUGGCAUGCUGGUUUGUCAAUAUGGCUGGAGCUGGAGGUAAACCCAUUCCCCUUCUUUAAAUUGAGCUUCUUUUCUGCCUUUGUCUGCUUGUUUCUUUUGCCUCUCUUGAGCUUGAGCUAAGUUAUGUUUGAUUACUGCCAUUUGUUCUGUCCUGUGUUGUAAAUGAUCUUCUGCUGCUUGAUUUUUCGUUGAACUUGGGAUGUAAUCUGUGAGACUUGGGGGCGGGUAGCCGUAGGUUGCUUCAAACGGGGUGGAUUUGAGGGAUGAGUGAUAGCUGGUAUUGUAGCAAUAUUCGGCCAUGGUUAGCCAAUUGGACCAACCCUUUGGCUUGUCUCCCACAUAUCACCUCAAAUACCCUUCCAGUGUCUUGUUGGUUGCCUCUGUUUACCCGUUGGUUUGGGGGUGGUAUGUUGUAGACAUCAGCAGCUUGACCCCUUGAAGUUGAAAUAAUUCCCCUUAAAAUUUGCUAGUGAAGGUAGGAUCUCGGUCUGAUACUAUGUCGUUUGGGAGCCCAUGCAAUUUCAUUACAUUUUGAGAGAACAGGUUGGCAAUUUUGGUUGCACUGUAGGGGUGGGAAACGGGAAUAAAAUGGGCAUAUUUGAUAAACCUAUCCACGACUACUAUAAUGACUGAAUAUUGAUUAGAUUUUGGUAGUCCUUCUAUAAAAUCCAUAGAUAUGGAUGACCAUGGUUUAGUGGGUAUAGGCAAGGGCUGUAAGAGCCCGGAUGGUUUUUUGUUUUCCCCUUUGGCUCUCUGGCAGACUUCACAUUGUUUUAUAUAGGUUUGUAUGUCUGAUUUCAUCCCUACACAAAAGAAGUCUCUCCUCGCCCGUUUUAGUGUUCUCUCAAACCCUGUAUGUCCUGAGGGUGGACUGUCAUGAAUGUAAUUCAGUAUGUCAUUUUUUAUAGGGCUGGAUUGGCUUAUGUAGACUCUGUGUUUAUAGUAUAGAAUUCCUCCCCUAAACUGAUAUUUUAAAGACCCUAUGGUUUCUCGGUUGAGUUGUUGUAUGAUAGUUUGAAUUUCUGGAUCAGUUUUGUAACUCUCUUUUAACUGAUCAGUCCGGUCAACAAUUGGAGUAGAGAUAGCCCAUAGUGUACCUUUUUCUGUAGUAUCCUCCUGCCUAGAAAAUGCACCAGCUACUAGGUUUUCCUUUCCUACUCGAAACUCGACCACAAAGUCGUAUCCAAUCAAUUUGGAUAGCCAUUUCUGCUGUGUGGGUGUUCCAACCCAUUGUUCUAACAGAUAUUUGAGGCUUUGUUGAUCUGUUUUGAUCUUAAAGGCUUGGCCCAAUAAAUAAGGCCUCCAUUUCUGAACAGCUGUGACUAGUGCCAAAAAUUCCUUUUCAUAUGUUGAUAGUGAUAGUUCUCUCCCUUUUAGACUUUUGCUGAAGUAGGAUAUGGGUCGGCCACCCUGCAUUAACACGGCACCAAGUCCUAUACCUGAGGCAUCACAUUUGAUUAUGAAGUUUUGGUUGAAAUCUGGUAAUGCUAGGACCGGUGGGGUUGACACUGCCUUUUUUAAUUUCUCAAAGGCUUGGUCUGCUUCUGAAUCCCAUUUAAAAGCCCCCUUUUUCAGGAGUCUGGUUAAGGGGCCUGCGAUCACUCCGUAACCUUUGAUGAAUCUACGGUAGUAGCCUGUCAGCCCUAGGAACCCCCUUAGUGAUUUGAGUGUGUUUGGCUUAGGCCACUUGAUCAUUAACUCUACCUUGCUGGGAUCAGCAUGCACUCCCUGCCCUGAUACUAUAUGCCCCAAAUAUUCGAUUUCACUGCUUGCGAAUUUACAUUUGGACUGUUUGGCAAAUAGCUUAUGUCGAACUAGUGUCUCAAAUACCAUCCUUAGGUGUCUCUCAUGCUCCUCCGCAUUAUGGCUGUAGACUAGGAUGUCAUCGAAGAAAACCAGCACGAAUUUUCUAAGAUAGGGUCGAAAAAUAUCAUUCAUCAACCUUUGAAAAGUGGAAGGGGCAUUUGUGAGGCCGAAGGGCAUCACCAGGAAUUCAUAGUGCCCUUCAUGAGUCCUAAAGGCUGUUUUAGGGAUAUCUUCUUCCUUCAUUCUGAUCUAAUGGAAGCCUGAUCGGAGGUCUAGUUUGGAAAAAAAUUGAGAACUAUGUAGUUCAUCUAGUAACUCUUCCACAACUGGUAUGGGAAAUUUAUCCUUUACAGUCUCCUUGUUGAGGGCACGGUAGUCCACGCACAUUCUCUAGGACCCAUCGGCCUUCCUAACUAAUAGGAUCGGUGAUGAAAAAGGGCUUUGGCUGGGUCUUAUAGUACCCAAGGCUAACAGCUCCUUAAUUAAUUUUUUUAUCUUAGAUUUUUGGUAGUAGGGGUAUCUGUAAGGGCGUACACUUAUUGGGGAAGUGCCUUCCUUUAGUAUUAUGGAAUGAUCAUGUGAUCUGCUAGGUGGAAUUCCUUUUGGCUCUUGAAAUACUUCCAUGAAUUCCAACAACAAUUUCUCAAUCUGUUCUGGCAGUUUAUUAUAAGCUGAUCCAAGCUCCCAAAUUUGCAGAAUCAGUCCUUCUUCGACUCUCCUCAAUUCUUGUAAGAAGGUUAGGCUGCAAUCCACCUCUGAUUUCUACACUCCUAUUCCCUGAACUAAAACCCUUUUUCCUUCCUUUUGGAAUUCCAUUUGUAAGGCCGAAAAGUCCCAAAGAAUAGGCCCUAAACUUUUAAGCCACUGGAUUCCUAGCACCAUAUCGCAUCCUCCCAGCUGUAUGACAUAAGCUCUAGUGAUAAACUGAUCUCCUUGAAUCAUCAGUCUAAUAUCUGGACAGCUUUCCUCACUCCACAGCUUGGACCCAUCGGUAAUGUUUACACCAAUAGGGUUAUGUUUGAGGACCUUUAUUCUUGUUCUUCUUGCUACCCUUGGAUGUACGAAAUUAUGUGUACUUCCUGUGUCAAUUAGGGCCACGAAAUUAUGGCCACUCGGCUUCACGGACACCCUCAUAGUUUUAGGAUUGGGGUUUCCAAUGAUUGCAUGGAGGGAUAUGUCGAUUCCCUCCUUGCCCUCUUCUUGAGGGUCUCUUAGAUCAAUCAGGUCUUCAGGAAUAAAACUUUUAUCCUCCAUCUCCUCCUCUAAUUCCUCUAUCAAAAAUAUUUUGGGUCCUCCACACCUAUGGCCAGGUCCCCAUUUGCUGUCACAUUUAAAGCAAAGCCCCUUGUCUCUCUUUUCCUUCAUCUGUGCUGGAGAGAGUCUCUGUAUCAUCAUUGGUUUAGUUUCAGCCCUGGGCUGAGAGGGUGUUGGGUUUCGGUUUUGGAACCCCAUAUUGCUAGGUCUCCAAGAUUUCCUCAUGAUUGUCAGGUUCUCUUCUUGCAUUCUUGCCAACCCAUAAGCAACCACGAGAUUCUGGGGGUUUAGCAUUCUGACCCCCAUUCUUAUCUCCUCUUUUAAUCCUCCUAAGAAGCAACUGAGCCGGUGAGAGUCAGACAGUCCUCUGACCCGGUUCGAAAGCAUCUCAAAUUGGGUUUUGUAGAGCUCUACAGUUGUGGUUUGUUUAAUGUUGAUGAGGGCCUCCAUAAGGUCAUCAUAAGAGGAGGUUCCAAAACGGAUUUGGAGGGCCUUAAUAAAAGCCUCCCAACUGGUAAGAAUUCCAGUGUCUUCUAAUUCUUGAUACCAGGUUAUGGCCUUCCCUUCCAUGUGAAAGCUGGCUAUAAACAACCGGUGUUGUGCAGGAGUGCUAUGAAAGUUAAAGAAUUGAUUGGCCUUGUAUACCCAGCCAAUAGGAUCAUCUCUAUUAAACUAAGGAAACUCUAAUCGGAUUGAUUUGAGUUGAACUUGCUGAAAUCCUUCCUGUGGUACUACUUCGUGCCUAGUAUUUCCAUUGACUGAUCUGGUGGGAGAAUUAGAGGGGGAGCCCAUGGGCCUUUUCCCGUGGGCCUUGGCCAUCUGAUCCAUCCUGGUGGACAUGUUCUUUAAUUGAUGGACUAUGUCCUCCAAUAUUUGCUGCUAAUUCUGCUGGUUUUGUUGCUGUAUCUCCUGUUGUUUUUUCAUCCCUGAAACUGUUUCAAUCAAUUGGGAAACCCUCGUUCCUUUAGCCAUCCGAAGAUCGUGGCUCUGAUACCACUUGUAAUGAUCUUUAAUAAUUCGAAGGGAAAGAAUUAAAAGAUUCUUUAUUAUUGCUUUUCUUGAACCUGACCCUUACAGGUAAAUUUCGGUAAAACUGAAACAAUUGAAGGGAACUCUAAAGAAAUUGAAUAAAAAGAAACGUUGCAAAGUAAUAAAACCUAAUCUAGAAUUUCUGGGCAGUUUCGAGGUAGCCCGGGCCUCCUGGGUGAAUGAGAUUUGCUUCAAAGCAAUUUCCUGCCUCUCUACAGCCCCUUUCCUCCCCUAUUUAUUCUAAUUCUUGAUCCGUAGAAAAUUGAGAAUGACAGGUGGAAUUGCCAACUGUAUUUAUCUAAAUCUAUUUUAUUUGGACUCUUUUUCUUACUGCAAACGGUGUUGUUUGCCCCUUGGAUUUAUUCCCUGCCAGCUGUCAGCCGCAGGAUCUUCUUCAUCUCAGCCCUCCACGUAAGUCUCUCACAUUCGAUCUUGAUUGUACACGUACUCACUAUCUUUUCUUGCUGCAUGUAGUCUUCUCCAACACGCCUUCCUCCUUUCUUCAUCGGCUUCAGCUUUGGAUCU